AUAUGGUUCAUUGGUUAUUAACUCCUUCUUCUCAGACCGUAGGAAAAAAGGAAUGAAACGGUUGAAGAGAAGACACAAAAGAAGCCAGAGAGCUCCCCAUUUUCAGACCAGACCCUCACCUCAAAGCGAAGCAUGAGCUCUCCCCUCUGUCCCCAAAAGUUCAUGGGAUUGUUGCUCCAUUGCAAGAUAACACCAAGUUCUGCAACAACUCGAUUCACUGUGUUCACUCAAGGCAUGUCCCUUUCUGGGCAACAGGGAGGAUAUGUCAUGUGUGCACACAAGAUCAAGUGCAUGCAUGUGUACUUUCCAGUUAAUUCUUCAGCUUCUGUGGUGUACUCUUUUGUCUUUCUGAAAGGACAACCAGUAUAAGAAUGACAUUUUGCAAACAAAUGUUGAAUGCAUUUUUUAUUUCAACAUUAAGAUUUAAUUACAAAAGCUUCUGGAACAAUUAAAGGAUGCCAAGGAGGAAAGAGCUGAAAACUCAGACUGCAUUUUCUCAUUCAUUGUGAAAGCUAAACACAUUGUCAGCAGCAAGGCGUUUUAUAGAAAAGUUUCAGAUGGACAGUACAAAGACCUUUCUGUCAAUAUUGUCACUGAAACACCUUGCUGUCAUGAAGCACAUCUUUUUUUUUCUGAUCACGCUUUCUAGUGUUGGCUGAUUGAUUUUUGCAGUGGGAAACAAGUAAUAAUUAUUGCAGAUUUACCGUAAUUCUUUUCUGCUAAUCUCUGCUAAUAUAACACAGUCUUCUUCUUGGAAAAAUGUCCAAACAUAACUUUACCCUGAUAAAAAUGUCUAGUGCUGUUGUUAGAAGUUUUAUUUGCACAAAUAUGUUCCUAAUCUAUGUUAAUUUCAUGCAAUAUAAUUCUUAAUUUUUGGAAUAAAUACUGAGAAUCAUUAGA